UGGGGGAUAUUGCACAAUGGAGGAAACUCUGAUGCAGCAACGCCGCGUGAGGGAAGAAGGUUUUCGGAUUGUAAACCUCUGUCCUUGGUGAAGAUAAUGACGGUAGCCAAGGAGGAAGCUCCGGCUAACUACGUGCCAGCAGCCGCGGUAAUACGUAGGGAGCAAGCGUUGUCCGGAUUUACUGGGUGUAAAGGGUGCGUAGGCGGCUCUGCAAGUCAGGCGUGAAAUACAUGGGCUUAACCCAUGGGCGGCGUUUGAAACUGUGGAGCUUGAGUGAAGUAGAGGUAGGCGGAAUUCCCGGUGUAGCGGUGAAAUGCGUAGAGAUCGGGAGGAACACCAGUGGCGAAGGCGGCCUACUGGGCUUUAACUGACGCUGAGGCACGAAAGCAUGGGUAGCAAACA
rnacentral:rRNA from 1 species